CCUGAGAAACCUAAAAGUUCGAAUGAGGAGAUUCAUCGUCAGGCCACAUGAUAUAUCUAGGAGUUUUGAUAUUAUAGUCCUACUAAUAAUACGAGCUCUUAGGUUUCAGUUUCAUGUGGUCAGGCGUGCACUUCUCCUCUUGUAGGACGUUGCGACCCGUUAAAUGUUAAUUUGUGGCCCGGUGUGGAGUCUUUAAUUUUUUUUGAAUUGAAGACCACCGGUGACCUAAUUGGCUGUUUGACGGUACUCUAAUGGUAUUGAGCCGCUCUUUUGAUAUGCGUCGAGCUUGGCACAAGCAUAAUUAGUUGUAAUAUCCCGGUAGUGCGGAUCUGAUGCCGUCGCUGGGGCUAAUUGGCUGUUGGUGUUCAAUGCUCUUUGACUGGCUUAUAUACCGGUCUGCAACGCUACUGCUUUGGGUACUUUCAGGACCCGUCUUGAAACACGGACCAAGGAGUCUAACAUGUGCGCAAGUCAUUGGGAUAUUAAAAUGAAACCUAAAGGCAAAAUGAAAGUAAAGUUUAUCCUUGCGAUAAAUAAGGGAGGAUAGAUUGCAUUACGAUGUCAGUCUCGCACUCCCGGGGCGUCUCAUUCUNAUUACGAGAGNAAGCGCACCUAG
rnacentral:rRNA from 1 species